rnacentral:rRNA from 1 species
CCUACGGGCGGCAGCAGUGAGGAAUAUUGGUCAAUGGCCGUAAGGCUGAACCAGCCAAGUCGCGUGAGGGAAGACUGCCCUAUGGGUUGUAAACCUCUUUUAUGCGGGGACAAAGGUGUCCACGUGUGGAUGUUUGCAGGUACCGCAUGAAUAAGGACCGGCUAAUUCCGUGCCAGCAGCCGCGGUAAUACGGAAGGUCCGGGCGUUAUCCGGAUUUAUUGGGUUUAAAGGGGGCGUAGGCCGGGCUGUAAGUUAGCCGUGAAAUUAUGGGGCUCAACCAUGAGAGUGCGGCGGAAACUGGAGUCCUUGAGUGGGCGAGAGGUAGGCGGAAUGCGUGGUGUAGCGGUGAAAUGCUUAGAUAUCACGAAGAACCCCGAUUGCGAAGGCAGCCUACCGGAGCGCUACUGACGCUGAAGCACGAAAGCGUGGGUAUCGAACAGGAUUAGAUACCCGAGUAGUC